UCCUUUGUAAUAUGACUGUGUUGUUUUAUGAUGUUUUGCUUUGAUUUAUGUUUUUUCUUGCUGUCACAUUAUGCUUGCUUAUUGCAGUCUUGCGGGAUUCUUUUUGGUGACAGUUUAUCAAAAGCAGCAUAAGCUUUCUAGCUUGGUACGGACAAGACAUUCGGCUGGUGAAUGCAUUGCGGUUGACGCAUACAGCAUGGGAGAAUCCCCAUGGUGGUUUCAUCUAAUAUGGACCCAUGCACUGUAACUUGUUCUUCAACUGGUUAUCUUUUGGUGUUGUUAGUAUUGCAGGUUGCUUGGACACCUAUGGACAUGCUUAGUACAUUGCAAGUCAGGCUAAGGUUCAAUGCAAAUAGUUGUUGCUGCAGGUCAAAUAUUGCACAGUGGGCCUGGCCAAAGUUUGGAGAAAAAGAUGCAAAACAAGUGAUCCUGAACUUUUGCUGUAGGUUGAACUUGUCUGCAACUCGCCGUCACCGGGACAUCAUGAUUCACAGUUGGCCUGGUGUUGCAGUUUGGACUUGGAUGGCCUGGCUAGUGGCCUUUCGAAUUUGUACGGCAUUAAAGCAUCAGUUUGAUGUGGCUGGAACUUUUGAGCUUUCUGCAUUUACCUAGGCUUUUAUUUGGAAUGCUGAGUUUUGGAUAGUUUGUAGCCUUACAUUGCUUUGGCUAUGUCUGUUGCAUUCACGGCUUUCCCGUUUUCUAACCACCCUUUUUAUGUUCUAUAUGUUUUGGAUAUAUAUGUUAUUUCGGGAUAUGUAGACUGGAUAAAAUUUAAUGGAGAAUUGGGUCAAUAACA